CAAAACCUCGUUCGCUUCGUCGCGAAGAGAUAGGAAGAGAAAUUUGACUUCAGCCCCACCUCCUUUGCUCUCCUGACGCACGUACCUCCUCUCCCAGAAAUCCCACACAACCUCCUCUCCCCACUCCCCAGCUAGGUUGCUGCCGCUCCUCCGGCGCUGGCGGGCUUCCUCGGCCUUUCCUCUCUCUGCCUGCGGUGCAUCCCUGGAUCCACGGAGGUGGAUGGCAGGGGCCCUAAGGUUGAUGGUGCUGAGGAGGAGGCGGAGCGGUUCUGUUGUUGGGUUGAGCGGCGGCCGGAGCGGGUCGACCAUGGAGAUGGCCGUACGUGGCGUCGUUCUCGGGCAGAGAAGGGGAGGGGAGCGUGAGGUGAAGAGGAGGCCCAUGGGAGCAGAUCCGGCCGUCAACGGUAGGGUUGGCCAUGGAUAUGGCCAUCUGUGGCGGCGGCGUCAGGCAGAGAAGCGGAGGGAGGGCGAGAUGAAGAGAGGAUGGAGACGGAGACGGAGACGAAGAGCCCAUGGAGAAGCUCCACCGAUAUCAUCGGCGGUAAGAAGGCGACGCCCACCUCCACCUUCGUGCAGUCACCCAGGUAAAAUUUUGGAGUUAUGCUAAUCAGGAGGUGUUGCAGGAAAUUGAUAUUGGCCAUUCAGCAAAUGUAUUUUGCACAAAAUUUAUCGAGGAAGCAUUUGAUGAAAUAUAAGUUUGAGAAGCAGGAGAUGACGAGGUACAGCCUUUUCCAGUAUAUGUUUUCACUUAUCUUUCCCAGUUAUUCUUAGGCAUAUUUUAGGAGAGGUUCAUUUUUCUUUUUGAGGUUCGUCCGUUCGUGUUAUCAAUUUGUCUCGUUUAAAUGGCAUAAGGUGCAGGAAAAUUUCUAUGGAACUAGCUGCAAUUUAUUAAUGUCACUCCAAGAGGGCCAAGCAAAGGUUUGAGUGACAAUGUGCAACCCCUUUCCUCUAAUUCCAACCGUGUCAUGAAUUCUUGUGUUGCUGCUAUUCUGAAGGGCGUCAUGUUGUUAUUGUUGAUGAUUUAGUGCAAUCUAGUGGAACUCUUACAAAAUGCCAGGUUACCAUUCUGUUGCAAUCGCUGAUUGGUAUAGUCUUGUGCCAUCAUUUCAAGUUGUCGUACCAAAAACUUAAUGCCUUUCAGAAUUCAAAUUUUACCUGAGUCCACAAUUGAUAGUAUUACCAGCAGGCUUAGUCAUGUAAAGUUGAGACGUUCAAUUUCAUUCCUUCUCCAAACCUGGUAAUAGAGUCUGUGGCAUGUGAAUUUUCAUGUUGUGGGUCAAUUUGGUGUGACAUAUUUACUUCAUUGUUCAGUGAAAUGGAAGUAAUACAUUUCAAGUGUCAAUUAUGAUGCUACAUGUGACUUAUAGUUGCAUAUACUAUGUUGUUCCUUUUUGCCCCAUGAGUAUUUAUGUUCUGUUCAUUUGGCAGAAACUUUUGGCUGCUUAUGUUGUCGCAAAAGUUACUGCCCAUGUCACUCAAACUGUGUUCCUGGUCAGUCGUAUGAAUGGUUCAUGAUCGCGAGUUCUGCUGGGCCAGGUGAGCAGUUUGAUUACUUCUGGAUCACGGAUUCGUGCCCUCAGACAGUGAAAGCCAUCAGCCAACCCUCCAUUUGAGGUGUUGAGCCUUGCUAGCUCAAUUGUUGACGCCCUUCAGAUAUGAAUGUGGACUAUGAAAUGCGCUGCUCCCAUAUAGAGCUUUCAUUUCUAGCUCGAGCAAAACAAAUAAUGUGAAGAGAGUCAUCUAAUUGUGUUGAAUCUUUGCUCCAUGUUUUGUUCUGUUGCCAUCUUCCUUCUCCCGUUAUGCAUCCGUUGUUUGUUUGCUAUUUUAUUGGGCAUAUUUUCGACUGGAAGACACAAAGGAGGUUGUGUAGUGGGGAUGGAUAUCCUGGUGUUGGAAGAAGACGACGAGUAGCCAAAUACUUCUAGGUAUUAUCGUUUGGCAUGUUCCAUUAAAAUUCACAUUUGCAAAUAUAUGUGCUCAGCAGUCCUAUCCCCAACUUCAUGAUGAUGCUUCUGUUAAGUUCAUGCAGCAACACAAAUAUUGGGUUUGUACCAUGUAUUGUUUGCUUGCCUAAAAACAGAUGGUUGGUAUAUUUCUCGCAGUUUAGGAACACAGUGAAAUAAGAAAUGAUAUUUCAAACUUGAAAGCUUCUUGCGUUGGUAGAGCCCUAUUGGGUUAUCUUGGAAAUAACAAAUAAGGCAAAGGUUGUACAAUGUACAAGCUGCACUUGUUUGGUUUUGAUACUCUUGAAUGGUUCAUUGUAAUUGUGCCUGCUGUCAUUUGCAUCAUACAACCUUUUGUAUUUUGCCUGCUAUCAUUUGACCUCUAGGAAAACGGAGGGAGAUGAAUUGGGCAGAAACCUGAUGUCAUGGAGGUUUGCUCAUGACCGUUGGUGUGGUGAUGUUUAGUCACCGGAAACAAUUCUUGAGCAUGAGUCUGUAUUUUGUUUCCUUAUUCAACAUAGCAGUGUGGAAGCAAGAGAAAACUUAUUACUAAAUCAAUUAUCAUUCUAAUUACAGCCGUAUCUUAUGGCUUGGUCAUUUGAAUUACUGCAUAUCUAUUCCAUACUCGUGAGCAAAAGCUCUGGUUAAAAUGCAUAAUUGGUAAAUUACACUGCCCUGGUACACGACAAUGUUAGUUUCAGGACCAUGCUUUUUGCUGCUGGUGUGGUAUAUAACUGUGAUGGUAUAUAUCUUACAAAGUGUUUCUGACUCGUUCUUCUCAGACAUAGUUUUUGUUUAUUUAUUUGCUGGAGGCGGCCGCGUUGCCGCCCAUGGACAUCACUGGAGGAGGCGCGGAAGACGGGCUCCGACUCCUCGGAUUCAGACGAGGAAGGAGACGCCGUCGACGAGCUACGCAUCCAGGCCCUGGAGCGCACCAUGUUGGAGCAGCCUCUCGACUACGAUUCCCAUGUUCAGCCAGAUAGCUGCAAUUAGUGAAGAACAAGAUAGCUUAUGGAAGGACCAUGCUAUAUUGCUACUUUGACUAAAUAAAAAUUCAUGGAUGCAGAUGCUAGAGACAUACAAGGACUACAUUUCUUCAAACUCUGCUGGUUUUUAGUCCUUAAGCUACUCCAAACAGUAGAUCCACGAACUUUGUAGCCCUUAAAAAUGUGAAUGAUAUAUCAAGGAAGUGCCUGCUCCAGUGCUGACUAGGGGCCAGUUCUUUUCGCCCUAUAAUUCUGGAGAAUUACGAUUCUGGAAACUGCCCACAGAAUCGUCUGCCCAUAGAAUUGUCUGUCCAGUUCUUUUCUAUAAUUCUAACAUGUAAUUGUUGUAUGAAGUCGCUCGGUCGAGCUGGCCCAGUGACAUAUUGGCUGUAAUUUGAGUCCUCAAUAGGGGUAGUAGUUCAAACCGAACAGUUUUCUUUUGAGGGCCCGGCUAGAAUUGCCAGAAUUGCCGAGUUUCCACGAUUCUCAAAUACACUAGCGAUUCUGAUAAUUCUCGGAUGAUUCCUGGGGAAGAAACGAGUUCUUUUGCGAUUGUGAUUCUCCGGGCAGUAAUUCUUCAAAAUUGAGCCAAAAGAACUGGGCCUAGGAAAAUUAGAUAGAGCUUUGAUACUCCUAUUUCUGUUCCCACCACGAACUCUACAACACUAAGGCCAAAUUUUAUAUUGAUCCUUUGCGUAUUUUUCUUCAUGUAUAAUUUCCAGUGCUGACAGCAGAAACUAAUCUGAUCCAUCAAGCAAUUAUAAAAUAUCAUGGGAAUAUUUCAUCAGGCACCACCAAACUAACAAUUCUUCACUUGACACUUUCAGAGCUUGUCAUUGAGUGUAUGACUGUUUUAUAACUGAAUAAGAUUUGCUUUUCAUCCACUGCAUUAUAUGAUAAUCCUGUAAUCUACAACCUAAAUUCUAUUAUUAUUUGCUUUACUUUCAACUUUCAUCAUUUACUUUAACAUCUCGCUUAGUGCAAUCUUCUUUUCUUUAGCUUUGCUUUUCCAUUUAACUUCACAAACAUUUUAUUCUGACCACGCAAAUUGAGAGCAUCCUCCUCUAUUUAGCUCGGCGGGGCCAACGCCACCAUCCUCACCGACGUCCAGCAAGCGCCAUGCAACUAAUGGUGUUGCUGCCAUGACGACGCCUGCCUCCAUGCUGAUCGAGCUUUUCGACCUGCCCGGAAUGGACAAGGUCAUUUGGGCAUCUGUUUUUUAUGUGCUAUUUGCUCUCUUUUUAUAAGGAGUGUAGCUACAUGAUCAAAUUUGUAUGCGCACUGUAGUUCUAUGUUGUAUCUUUCUUUCUGAAGAAGCGACAAUAUGCUCUUGUCAGUGUUAUUUUAUUGCUA